GGCACAUCUCUGCUGGUGGUCGGAGGCUGAGAGCAGCCUCGUCCACCGUGGGGGCAGUGCUGGUCAGAACAGCGGUGCCCCCGCCCAGCCUCCGGAUGGAGGUGUGGCGCCCUUCGCGGUGGGUGGUGUUCACAGGGGGCUGGCUCCCUGGGGACAGUUUUCUGGAAUCCUCGCUGUGGCCCUGCCUGCCCGUUUCUGCGCCCAAUGGCCAGCCUUCCCAUGAGUCUGCAAGCUAGCUCACCUCCUGCGGAAUAAAUCCCCCUUUCUUCUUCGGUCUGCCCAAGUUGGUGCCAUUGCCAGCAACCAAGAAUGCUGGCCGAGACCCUGUGUCACUUCUUCCAGAAGCCGCUCCCAGGAGAGAAGUCGGGGUGCCUGCCUGCUCCCCAGGGAGAACCAGGAGCCUGUGGAGCUGGCGUUGGCCCUUCGGUUGCUGCUAUCGGAGGCGACUGCAAACUCGGGUGCAGACGGGGCCAGGUGCUGGGGAUCCGAAGAUCCAGGUGUGCGUCAUGUAAGGGGCCAGACAGGGAAAGGUGUGCCUGCUGUUGUCCAACUACGUGGCUCAGGUGGCAGUCCUGGAAGGCUCCGGAGAGGAGAUGAGAAGCCAGCUGUCACUCCUGGCUGCACCCCAGUGACUCCAUGCCACCCCCCACUGUGCCCCGUGGGAUCUCCCGGCUCCACCUAAGACAUGCGUGCUACAGGCGGUCGCUCUCCCGAGCGUGCACAUGGAAACCUCAGCAGCGGUUCCUACUCCCUGUUUGCCUCACACAUUCUCCCUUGCAAGCAGGCAAGUGCCGUGCGGAAACCCCCUGAGACAGCUGACGCCUGUGUCCCAACACCCUGGGCCUGGAAAGCAGGCCCUCAGCGUGGACAGGGUGUCAGGGCUGGGGCUGGCCCGCAGGGCAGCAGGGCGCAGGUGGGGCAGAAAUGGGACCACCUGAGGCCUGCGUAGGUGUGAGCGUGUGGCCUCCUGCCAGAGGUGGGCCUGCAGGGAGGGAGAAGAAGGGGAUACCCAAGAAGAGAGGAUGAGACCAGGUAAGGCUGGGAGACCUUAAGUUGCUGGGACCACCAGUCUGGGUGCGAGGAUUGCUUUGGAGUGUGUAUCAUGGAGAACCCAGAGAACUUCUGCUCCUGUUGUCAGUAAGUUCACGCGCAGAGGGAGACGUCCGAGGCUGAGGCCCUGGGCUGCUCCGCCACCCCGUUCACCUCCGAGCUCCAAGGGCUGGGGCUCGGGGUGGGCACUUGCCCUGGUAGGGAUGAUGUCAGCAUCCCACGUCAGAGCACCUGGGUUUGAUCCCCGGCUCCGUACCUGGCUCCAGCUUCCUGCCAACGCACACCCUGGGAGGCAACAGCUAUGGCUCAAAUGAUUUGUUUCCUGCCGCCCAGCUGAAUAAGAAUUCAGGAUGGAAGCGGAAGCCCCACCUGUAGCCUUAUGUCUGUCCGCGUUCCUGGAGGGAGAGAGUGUGGCGUCCGGGGACAGCAGCGCCAGCCCGAGCCUGGAGCGCGCCGGCCCAUCUGGUUUUAUUUCACUCCGUGUUAUUCAUCAGGAUGUGUUAGCCGGGAGGUAUUUGAUGUUCAGGAAGAAUUCUGGAGCUUUUGAAAGAAGUAAAUAAAAUCUUUUAUCCCCUAAAGAGUCGUGAAAUUGCACUGGGGGAGGAGACGGCGGGCACCCUGUGA